CACUGAACCACAAUGGGAACUCCCUAUGUGGGGUUCUUGAGAGCCACAGUGGGAACUCCAAGACAAUUGUUUUUGAGAUUUUUUUUACAUCCUCACUUUUGGAUUCCAAGUGGUGUUCCAGGCAUGACCACCAUCUUGUUCUUAUUUUAUUUUUUUAAAAAUGAGUUGAAAUUCCAGUUAACUUCUAGUGAUUUCUAGAAGUCAUAGUGUCAUAGUCACCCUUGGAGGACCUAAGAGACCAUUCAUUACUCAUGCUUAAGAGAUUCAGAGGAACAUCCUCUGAAGGCAGACCUUGUUACCUGGCUGUGUGGUUAGCUGUGUGUACCUUGUUCUCUCAAAUAGCCGGGUCAAGGACUGCCAGGUGACGGCUGAGUCUUUAGCUUGAGUAGGGAACCCUGGUGAAGACAUCCCCCCAGUUUGUAGAGAUGACAUAGUCCUCUCCCUGGGGCAGAUUUAGUUUGAACUUGGUAGUCCCAUCCCCUAAUAAGCCAGCUUUCUCUGGCUCUGACUGAGCAGAGGUCUCUAUAGUCAUGGAAAAUGGAGUUGUCUUCGUGUAUUUUCCCUGCGUCCCCCCCAGCUGUCCCUCACUGAUGAUCAGUGUUGGGGCCACACCAGUCCUUUUCCAGCUGAAAUCUAUUCCUACCUGCCUCUCCAGGUGGCGGUCAUACCUUCUUUCCUCAUCCAUCCAUGGCUGGCUGCAGGGCAGUCAUCUUCCUUCCUGUACUUUUGGCUGGAGGGAUCCCUGGCCAGCCAGCAUCCCAGAAGCUAGUGUGCUGAGGGGACAUGGGGUUAGAAUGCAGGAGGAUGAUUAAAAGCAAGAGCUCAAGAUUGUAAGAUGCAAAAGUGGCCAUCUGUCCCGGAUUUCCUGGGCCAAUUGUAAAUCCAGAUCAACUCUUCUUUGUCCCACAGAAGAGCAAUCUAGUGGAUGGAAUGUGAUGCAGUCAUUUAAAAUGAUGUGGAUGAAAUUAAAAGAAAGGUGAAAGUGUCUGUGUUACAAUAAAUUUUAAAAAUCAAGAUGCAGAAUCCUAAAUAUAGUAUGAUCACAAUUAUAUGAAAACAAAAAAGCACCCAUCUCAUCCCUUACCCCCUGGAAAUAAACCCAGGCAUAUAAAAAAGAAUGACAGUAAAUAUAUCAAGUAUUCAAAACUCUUUACCUUUGGGUACCAGAACUAUCGUGACUUUUUUCUUUCCUUUUAGCUUUUUUUUCCUUAUAUUUCUCAAUUCUUCUCUAAUAACCCUGUAUCAGUGUCUUAACUGGAAGCCAAUUUAAACAGGUAAAAAUACCAAACAAACCUUUUUUUAUUGUUGGGACUUUGUGUCCUGAGUUUUGGCUUAGAUACAGCUUCAUAACUGAGAUGACCUGAGAACUCUUCUUCCCUGUCUCAGCCUCUGGAAAUCUGAAAAGUCAGGCAAGACCAGGUUCCAGGAAGACAUUUCGGGCAUAGUUCUGCCUGGAGGCAGGGGCUGGACAAGGCAGCCUCUCAGAGCCCCUUCCCACCCCUGAUGAGCGGUUAUCUCUGUGUUGCACACAGCCUCUGCCAACAGUGAGCAGGCUCUAAGUGUGGUGACAUUCUCCGAGGGGGAGCAGUAACAAAAGUCUGGCUGGGAUGGAAGCCGGGGGCGGGGACUCUGGAGUGAGUGCCUGAGCUGAUAAGGAGCCAGUGAUCUUUCUGCCUGGUGGGACUUGCACUUCCAGCUGCCAAGCAUCCUGCAGAGCCCAGCCCCCAGGAAAGCUGGUGCCUGCUGCGGCGGUCCUGCUGCUGGCGCAGCCCAGAGAGCACGGUGGUCACGGCUACUUCUGCAAAGAACUUCCCUAAUGGUGCAGGGUGUCAGGACUCUGUCCUGGGUUGGGGGAAGGAUCUCUUAGCCUUUGAGCAGCAGUGGUUUUGAAGGAAGCAGCGUUAUCUCCAAGGUGGAAACUAGGAUUUUUCCUUGUAGCACUUCUGUCAAAGUGACCCUGGCCAGCGGACAUCCAGAGUGCGUCUUCCUCAGCAGUCUUGCCUGGAUCCUCCAGCCCCAUCUCCUCAGGGCCCUGCCCUCCAAGUCAGAUGUUCUCCACUUCUCAGGCAAAAAGCCUCAGUUUACUGCAGCUACCUGGAUCCUGUUGCCCAUGAGACCAGCAACUCCCCAGCCUUACCACACUGGUUCUUAGACUUUGAGAAAGGCUUGCAGAUCCUGGAGUUGGCAGGGUCUGGGAAUCAAGCAUCAAGCUGAUCGAGGAUAGGGAUUGGAUUUGUGUGGAGUCCUUUGUUGCUGCUGCUGCUGCUGCUUUGAAAAACUCUGGUAAAUGCUGGGGAUCUGUGGAGGCAGGCCAAAUCCACAUAUGUCAAAGCAAGAGAGAAACCAAAGACCGUCCAGCAUGGUCAGUGAAACGUCCACGGCUGGGACCACUUCCACCGUGGAGGCCAAGCCUGGCCCCAAGAUCAUAAAGUCCAGCAGUAAAGUCCACAGCUUUGGGAAGAGGGAUCAGGCUAUUCGGAGGAACCUGAAUGUUCCAGUGGUGGUGAGGGGCUGGCUGCACAAGCAGGACAGUUCUGGGAUGAGGCUGUGGAAAAGGAGGUGGUUUGUGCUUGCUGAUUAUUGCUUGUUUUACUAUAAAGACAGCCGAGAAGAAGCGGUCCUUGGAAGCAUCCCUCUGCCCAGCUACGUGAUCUCGCCGGUGGCCCCUGAGGAUCGCAUAAGUCGCAAAUAUUCCUUUAAGGCCGUGCACACGGGGAUGCGAGCGCUCAUCUAUAAUAGCUCCGCCGGGGGCUCUCAGGCCGAGCAGUCGGGUAUGAGGACCUACUACUUCAGUGCCGACACCCAGGAGGACAUGAACGCUUGGGUCAGGGCCAUGAACCAGGCUGCACAGGUGCUGUCUCGAUCGUCACUGAAGAGGGACAUGGAGAAGGUGGAGCGGCAGGCGGUUCCCCAGGCCAACCACACAGAGUCCUGUCGAGAGUGUGGCCGCGUGGGACCUGGACAUGCGAGGGAUUGUCCUCAUCGUGGCCAUGAAGACUCCUUCGGAUUUGAGAGGCGGGAGCAGGAGGAAGACCGGUACCGCUCCCAGAGGGACCCACUGGAGGGCAAGCGGGACAGGAGCAAGGCCAGGUCCCCAUACUCGCCAGCUGAGGACGAUGCCUUAUUCGUGGAUUUACCCAGUGGCCCGAGAGGCCAGCAGGCUCAGCCCCAACGGGCCGAGAGGAACGGUGUGCUGCCUGCCGCGUCUGGCCCAGGAGAGCAGAAUGGGACUGGCGGGUACCAGCGGGCCUUUCCUCCCAGGACCAACCUUGAGAAGCACAGCCAGAGGAAGAGCAAUCUGGCCCAAGUGGAGCAGUGGGCAAAGGCCCAGAAGGGGGACAGCAGGAGCCUGCCCCUGGAUCAGACCCUUCCUCGCCAGGGUCCCAGCCAGUCCCUGCCCUUCCCAGAAAACUACCAGACUCUUCCCAAGAGCAACCGACACCCCUCGGGGGGCUCUUCUCCCCCUCCCCGCAACCUGCCCAGUGACUACAAGUACGCACAGGACCGAGCCAGCCACCUGAAGAUGUCGAGCGAGGAGCGCCGAGCACACCGGGAUGGCACCGUGUGGCAGCUCUACGAAUGGCAGCAGCGCCAGCAGUUCCGGCACGGGAGCCCCACAGCGCCCAUCGGGACCGGCUCCCCGGAGUUCACUGACCAGGGCCGGAGCAGGAGUAUGCUAGAGGUGCCCCGUUCCAUCUCUGUGCCUCCAUCGCCCUCGGACAUCCCUCCCCCAGGACCCCCGAGAGUCUUUCCACCCCGGCGGCCACACACACCAGCAGAGAGGGUCACCGUGAAGCCACCGGACCAGAGGAGGAGUGUGGACAUUUCGCUCGGAGGGUCUCCCAGGAAGGCAUGGGGCCACACCACCAAGAAUUCCUCUCAUGUGGACCGGCGCUCCAUGCCCUCCAUGGGUUACAUGACCCACACCGUCAGCGCUCCCAGUUUACAUGGAAAAUCGGCUGACGAUACCUACCUCCAGCUGAAGAAAGACCUGGAGUACCUGGACCUAAAGAUAAAAAAUAAUGAACCUUUGAUCAACGUGCUUUACAAAGUGCUGAAGAAGUCAGCACGGGGCUGUCGGCCCAGGAGAAGCAUGACAGGCCGGGAUCUUCUCAAGGACCGAAGUCUGAAGCCAGUGAAGAUUGCUGAGAGUGACAUUGACGUCAAACUGAGCGUCUUCUGUGAACAAGACAGGAUCCUCCAGGACUUGGAAGACAAGAUACGAGCCCUUAAGGAGAACAAAGACCAGCUAGAGUCCGUGCUGGAGGUGUUGCACAGACAGAUGGAGCAGUACCGAGACCAGCCCCAGCACCUGGAGAAGAUUGCCUACCAGCAGAGGCUGCUGCAAGAGGAUCUUGUCCACAUCCGGGCGGAGCUCUCCAGAGAGUCCACUGAGAUGGAAAAUGCCUGGAAUGAGUACCUGAAGUUGGAGAGAGAUGUGGAGCAGCUGAAGCAGACCCUGCAGGAGCAGCACAGUCGAGCCUUUUUUUUCCAGGAGAAAUCACAGAUACAGAAGGAUCUCUGGAGGAUUGAAGACGUCAUUGCAGGCCUGAGUGCAAACAAAGAGAACUUCAGAAUCCUGGUGGAAUCGGUGAAAAAUCCGGAGAGAAAAACGGUGCCUUUGCUUCCUCACCCACCUGUGCCUUCACUCUCGACGCCUGAGAGCAAGCCGCCCCCGCCGCCCAGCCCUCCCACCAGCCCCACGCGGACCCCUCUGGAGGUUCGUCUCUUCCCCCAGCUGCAAACCUACGUGCCGUACCGACCUCACCCACCCCAGCUGAGGAAGGUGACGUCCCCCCUUCAGUCACCCACCAAGACAAAGCCCAAAGUUGAAGACGAGGCACCUCCCAGGCCCCCGCUCCCUGAGCUCUACAGCCCAGAGGACCAGCCCCCGGCCGUGCCACCCCUGCCGAGGGAGGCCACCAUCAUCCGGCACACUUCAGUGAGGGGCCUCAAGCGGCAGUCAGACGAGAGGAAGCGAGACCGGGAGCAGGGGCAGUGCGUGAACGGGGACUCGAGGGUGGAACUCCGGUCGUAUGUCAGUGAGCCUGAGCUGGCCACCUUCAGUGGGGACAUGGCCCCUCCCUCGCUGGGACUCGUGGGCCCUGAGAGCAGGUACCAGACGCUGCCAGGCAGAGGGCUCUCGGGGUCCACGUCAAGGCUCCAGCAGUCAUCCACCAUUGCUCCCUACGUCACCCUCCGGAGGGGUCUGGAUGCCGAAAGCAGCAAGGUGACCUACGCUAGACCCAAGAGUGCCUUGGAGCGCCUGUACUCAGGGGACCACCAGCGGGGCAAGAUGAGCGCAGAGGAGCAGCUGGAGCGCAUGAAGCGGCACCAGAAGGCGCUGGUCCGGGAGCGCAAGAGGACACUGAGCCAAGGAGAGAGGACGGGUCUGCCCUCGUCCCGCUACCUCAGCCAACCACUCCCCGGAGAUCUCGGCUCAUGGAAGCGUGAGCAGGACUUUGACCUGCAGCUGCUGGAACGGGCCGUACAAGGGGACAGAAAGGACAAGGAGGAGAAUGGCUGGCUGAAGGUGCAGGCCAUGCCUGUCACUGAGUUGGACCUGGAACCACAAGACUAUGACGUGGACAUCAGCAGAGAGCUCUCCAAACCCGAGAAGGUCUCCAUCCCCGAGCGUUAUGUGGAGCUGGAUCCCGAAGAGCCGCCCAGCCUGGAGGAGCUGCAGGCUCGGUACCGCAAAGCCGAGAAGAUCCGUAACAUCCUGGCCCGGUCCAGCAUGUGCAACCUGCAGCCCACAUCUAGCCAGGACCGGGACAGCGUGGCCGAUCUGGACUCGCAGCUGCAGGAGCAGGAGCGCAUCAUCAACAUCUCCUACGCCCUGGCCUCGGAGGCCUCCCAGCGCAGCAAGCAGGUGGCAGGUGAGGUCCUGGUGGGGAGGGGCAGCCUCCGAGGCCGGCCCCAUCCCUGCUCCUUGGGCUUAGGGCCCAGCAUGGCCUGUCAGGGAGUCAGGGGAAAAGCGAGUGUCAAGCUUGGUUGUUGAGGGACAGUGGUGUAUCCCUCUGUCCUCCGAGCUCCUCAGGGCUUGCACAGGGGAUGGGCGAGGCGGCGGGAGCUGGAGGGGUGUCAGAGGAGAGGUCCCAGAGGGGUGACUCAUUCUAAAAUCUGAGAGCGGUGCUGCUCUUCAGUUUCCUGUGAGAUUGCUAGGUGGGAACAAGUUUUUCAGGCUUCUGAACAAAAGGGCCAAGGCUAAGAUGUCUGGCCUCAUGAAGAAGGGGGGCAGGAAAGGCUCUGGUGCUUGGAUUUCUUGUGCGGGCAAGGCAGAAGGGGGUCCCUCUAACCCUCCCUGGGGCUCCUACUUUGAUCCCCAAAUCAGAGCCACUGUUCACCAUAUCAGAGUGGCCUGUGUCAGAAAGCAGGACGGGGGAAGAGGGACUUUGCUGCCCAGUGGGGGAAAAAUAGCACCAUGGGGUGUGAGGGGGUGUGUAUAUGCGUGUGUAAAAAGGUGUUCUCUCUCAGCCAGGAGACUCCUGGCUCCUCUCUCUGCCCACACGUGCCUCCCCGUAUGAGCCUUCACAGUUCCUCCCCAGAUGCAGGGGCCACUGCAUGUCCAGGUGGUGUCCUUGGCCUUGGCCAGGUGUGAGGAGGAUGGUCAUAGAGCCUGAGUGGUGUCACGGUCCCCACCUGUCCUCCCACCCUGACCAAAGGGUCCACAAGUGGCCAAGGGGGGGGGCCCUGCUGGGUCCCAAUUGCCCAGCCCUGGGGAGCAUAGCCUUAACAUCACCUCGAGAAACUACAGGCGUGACGGAGGACAAGGGGAAGCCUGUUCUGUCCCCCAGCUCUGAUCCCGGACAGAGUCCCUGAAAUCCCUGCUGUCCUGACUCCCCUGAGGAUAUGUGGGUGGGCUGAGAGGGGGCCAUUGUUGGGGAGACAGCAGAUGCUCCUCCAGACCUGCCCUCCUAAUAAACCUGGGGGCUCCCUGUGGCCCAUCGUGGCGAUUUUGAAUUCCUCCCAUGUCAAGGGUUCCAGCCGGGGCACUGUCCCCUCCAUAAAGUGCCCUCCUCUCUGGCUGUGCUUUCUCUCCCUGUGGGCCUCCUGUCCUCGGCUUCCUCAGCACCAGCAGGCGAGCGUGCCCCACACAUAACACCCUGACGCCCCACGGUCACGCCCCCACUGAGUCGCCACCUUUGCCUUUCCUCCCUCUUGCUCCCCGCUCCACCUCAGACAUUGCCAGGCCCCCACCAGGCCCCACGGACAUGCCCCUAAGCCCAGGCCUUUAGUGCUGGGCCGGGGGGCCCACGGCACCGGCCCUGCCGAGUGGGGCGUCUGGUGCUGUGGGAGCAGACGAGGAGCCUGACGCACCACUUGAUCCCUGUGUGCCCAUCUAGCCCAGCAGCUGGCCCUCCUCCCGCCUAAAGGCCCCCUGUCCUCCAGGACGGUGCCACCUUACCCCCCCUUAAGCAACGGACUUCACUACACCUUUGUCUAACACCUGCCAACCCAGGCAGUGACUGACCCGUGAUCCAACGUGCAGAGAAGUCCAGAGCCAGGGACCAUCCGAACAGUGUCCUCCGAGAAGACUGAUCCUUCCUCCCUCAAGGAAACCCCUUCCCGCCAAGCAGGGGUUCAGGCUGGAAGACGGAGCAGCCCCCGGACUGUGGAGCGUUCUCUGCAGGGCUUGGUCCCAACACCCCCGCUUGGUUUAGUUCAGACUCCUUUUCACAUGUGACAAAGGCACUUUUGAUACACACUGUAAAGUACUGACACUGUCUUUUAGAAUCAGGACCUAUUUUAUAAUGUUCACCUCAAGGGCUGAGUGGCUGAGAAGGUGAGGCUGCAAGAUUUGGGAGCUGCACCUACGGAUUCAGGUACCGUGUGGGUGGCAGGUGUGGGUGGAGGCAGAGGCAGAGUGAGCAGAGGCCAGUCCAAGCUCUGAUGAACCCAAGUGAGGCUGGAUUGGCGCUGCGCUUCCAGUGGAUUCCAGUGUUAGGCUCAUUGGCGUGCUGUCCGGGGCAGAGAUCAGCCGUCCCUGACCUGGCUUGAUGACCCGCUUCGAGAUGGCACGUGGAGCCCAAGCCUGCGCCUCGGCCUUAGGUUUGGUUUAGCGUCAAUGGCGUGUCCAGGAGUUUUGGUUCCCAACCCACUCACGAAGGUCUCUUAGCAAAGGGCUCUUCACCAAAAUGCAAACAAAAACCCAAUUCACUUUCAUUAAAAACAAAAAACACUUUGAAGUGCAGAAAAGGCGAGAUGCAUCUUUGAUUGUAUCAUAAGCAAUAAAUGUCACACUAGGUGGUAUCCGUCUGCAACCCCCUGUGACCACACUAGGCUGUGAUAGGAAUCCCAGGAUUUUUGUGGCCUGCCCCCGAGGACACAGGUCAGCUACCCUGGGACGUGAGUGGGUGGCAGGGGGCAGGCAGCACGGUCCCCCACCAUCCCUGAUGGCCAGCAGGGCUGAUGGCAGGACUGUGACUUGACUUCCAGCCUAAUAAGGGGAGGGGGCUGCCAAGCCAGGCACAAUGUUUGUGGCCCUUUAUAUAAUCAUGAGCUCAUGAUGUUCUGCAUCUAGAAAAUGAGGUGGAAAACAAAACAAAACAAAACUCCAUUGCGUGGAGCCACACUUUAAAUGAAAAUUUGUCUUUGACUAUGGUCAGAAAAAUAAUCUUGAAUAUAUUUAGAAGUUGCUGUCUAUUUUUAACUAACUCCAUAUGCUGCCAGUAUCAACUUCAUGACAUUUGCCAAAAUAAGAUUUUAUUUUUGCCUUUAUAAGAUUUUGUUGGAAAAAUGAAAUGAAUAUUUUGCAAGAAAAAGUUAAUUUAAAUAAAAGUGUAACGGUUUGCAAAAAAAAAAAAAUGUGAUGUA